rnacentral:rRNA from 1 species
UACGAAGGGGGCUAGCGUUGCUCGGAAUCACUGGGCGUAAAGCGCACGUAGGCGGAUUGUUAAGUCAGGGGUGAAAUCCUGGAGCUCAACUCCAGAACUGCCUUUGAUACUGGCGAUCUUGAGUCCGGGAGAGGUGAGUGGAACUGCGAGUGUAGAGGUCGAAAUUCGUAGAUAUUCGCAAGAACACCAGUGGCGAAGGCGGCUCACUGGCCCGGUACUGACGCUGAGGUGCGAAAGCGUGGGGAGCAACAGG